rnacentral:rRNA from 1 species
CUCUUACACAUGCAGUUCGUACCAAUGUAGACCAAGCAUGCUUGGUGGAUCAGUGGCGAACGGGUGAGUAACACGUGAGCAACCUGCCCUGGACUCUGGGAUAAGCGCUGGAAACGGCGUCUAAUACUGGAUAUGAGACGUGAUCGCAUGGUCGUGUUUGGAAAGAUUUUUCGGUCUGGGAUGGGCUCGCGGCCUAUCAGCUUGUUGGUGAGGUAAUGGCUCACCAAGGCGUCGACGGGUAGCCGGCCUGAGAGGGUGACCGGCCACACUGGGACUGAGACACGGCCCAGACUCCUACGGGAGGCAGCAGUGGGGAAUAUUGCACAAUGGGCGAAAGCCUGAUGCAGCAACGCCGCGUGAGGGAUGACGGCCUUCGGGUUGUAAACCUCUUUUAGCAGGGAAGAAGCGAAAGUGACGGUACCUGCAGAAAAAGCGCCGGCUAACUACGUGCCAGCAGCCGCGGUAAUACGUAGGGCGCAAGCGUUAUCCGGAAUUAUUGGGCGUAAAGAGCUCGUAGGCGGUUUGUCGCGUCUGCUGUGAAAUCCCGAGGCUCAACCUCGGGCCUGCAGUGGGUA